rnacentral:rRNA from 1 species
UACAGAGGUCCCGAGCGUUGUUCGGAUUCAUUGGGCGUAAAGGGUGCGUAGGCGGCGGGGCAAGUCUGAUGUGAAAUCCCGGGGCUCAACCCCGGAACUGCAUUGGAUACUGCCUUGCUUGAGUACUGGAGAGGGAACUGGAAUUUACGGUGUAGCAGUGAAAUGCGUAGAGAUCGUAAGGAAGGCCAGUGGCGAAGGCGAGUUCCUGGACAGUUACUGACGCUGAGGCACGAAGGUCAGGGGAGCAAACGGG